UGGGAUGGGAGAGAGACAUAGUGGUCACAUUUGAGAAAGGCCAUCUGACAGAUGGGAGAAGCUGAAAGGGCUGCAGACAGCAGAAGCCUCCCCUGCACCUGCAAAUAGACCAGUGCAGGCAUUGAACAUCUGGGGCAAGACUAGCGUCUCCCAGCAGAUUAGUCUGCAUAUCAAGAACAACUAGACCUUAUAAAAGUCACAACAGAGCAGAGGGAUGGUCACCUGUAAAUGCACACUUUC